AUUGAACGCUGGCGGCGUGCUUAACACAUGCAAGUCGAGCGGCAGCGCGGGGGCAACCCUGGCGGCGAGCGGCGGACGGGUGAGCAAUACAUAGGAAUCUGCCUCAGAGCGGGGGAUAGCCAGGGGAAACCCUGAUUAAUACCGCAUGACGUCGAGAGACCAAAGUGGGGGAUCGUAAGACCUCACACUCUGAGAUGAGCCUAUGUCGGAUUAGCUAGUUGGCGGGGUAACGGCCCACCAAGGCGACGAUCCGUAGCUGGUCUGAGAGGACGAUCAGCCACACCGGAACUGAGACACGGUCCGGACUCCUACGGGAGGCAGCAGUGGGGAAUAUUGGACAAUGGGCGAAAGCCUGAUCCAGCGACGCCGCGUGGGUGAAGAAGGCCUUCGGGUUGUAAAGCCCUUUAAGCCGGGACGAAAAAGCUACACCUAACACGUGUGGCCUUGACGGUACCGGAAGAAUAAGCACCGGCUAACUCUGUGCCAGCAGCCGCCGUAA
rnacentral:rRNA from 1 species